AUUGAACGCUGGCGGCGUGCUUAACACAUGCAAGUCGAUCGGUAACAGGUGUAGCAAUACAUGCUGACGAGAGGCGGACGGGUGAGUAAUGCUUGGGAAUCUGCCUAUUAGUGGGGGACAACCCGGGGAAACUCGGGCUAAUACCGCAUACGCUCUACGGAGGAAAGCCGGGGACCGCAAGGCCUGGCGCUAAUAGAUGAGCCCAAGUCGGAUUAGCUAGUUGGUAGGGAACGGCCUACCAAGGCGACAAUCCGUAGCUGGUCUGAGAGGACGACCAGCCACACCGGAACUGAGACACGGUCCGGACUCCUACGGGAGGCAGCAGUGGGGAAUAUUGGACAAUGGGGGCAACCCUGAUCCAGCGACGCCGCGUGGGUGAAGAAGG
rnacentral:rRNA from 1 species